rnacentral:rRNA from 1 species
UACGAAGGGGGCUAGCGUUGCUCGGAAUUACUGGGCGUAAAGGGCGCGUAGGCGGAUAGUUUAGUCAGAGGUGAAAGCCCAGGGCUCAACCUUGGAACUGCCUUUGAUACUGGCUAUCUUGAGUUCGGGAGAGGUGAGUGGAAUGCCGAGUGUAGAGGUGAAAUUCGUAGAUAUUCGGCGGAACACCAGUGGCGAAGGCGACUCACUGGCCCGAUACUGACGCCUGAGGCGCGAAAGCGUGGGGAGCAAACAGG